GUAAGGAGACACACUUGAAUAUUGAAUAAACCAUUAAUCUUUUCUCUCGGUUCUUUCUUCCUACUUCCAUCUCUUUCUUCUUUAUUGUCUCUUUCUCCUUUAUUGUUUUGUUCAUUGCAGUCGGCAUUAAUUUGGUGUUAGAGCUCAAUCAUUUCCUUUGAUCAACCAAUCCAAUUUCCAUCUGAUGAGGACAUCAUUCACCUAUAUUUAUUUUAUUUUAUUUGGACUUUUUUUGCUUAUUUUAGUUGGCC
rnacentral:lncRNA from 1 species